rnacentral:rRNA from 1 species
GACGAACGCUGGCGGUGUGCUUAACACAUGCAAGUCGAACGGAAAGGCCCUGCUUUUGUGGGGUGCUCGAGUGGCGAACGGGUGAGUAACACGUGAGUAACCUGCCCUUGACUUUGGGAUAACUUCAGGAAACUGGGGCUAAUACCGGAUAGGAGCUCCUGCUGCAUGGUGGGGGUUGGAAAGUUUCGGCGGUUGGGGAUGGACUCGCGGCUUAUCAGCUUGUUGGUGGGGUAGUGGCUUGCCAAGGCUUUGACGGGUAGCCGGCCUGAGAGGGUGACCGGCCACAUUGGGACUGAGAUACGGCCCAGACUCCUACGGGAGGCAGCAGUGGGGAAUAUUGCACAAUGGGCGGAAGCCUGAUGCAGCAACGCCGCGUGCGGGAUGACGGCCUUCGGGUUGUAAACCGCUUUCGCCUGUGACGAAGCGUGAGUGACGGUAAUGGGUAAAGAAGCACCGGCUAACUACGUG